AAGAAGUUUGGUCACUUCAUUGUUGACAAUUGGUCAAACAAGGAAAUGAAGUCAUUAUAAGAAAAUAUAGCCAGAGGAGAUUCUGAUGAUGAACGUGUGUUAUUAAUGGCUUAUGAGUCUGAUAAUGCAUCUCUGGAAGACUGGUGGUACAUCAACAUUGGUUAUUCAAAUCACCUGACUGAAAAUAAGAAAUGGGUGAUUGAGU
rnacentral:lncRNA from 1 species